rnacentral:lncRNA from 1 species
CCGCUGUGCUCACUGUCUUCCUUUUUCUUUUCUUUUUUUGCUUCCCUGGUCUGCUGGAAUUGAUGGACACGAUGACGAAGCUAUGGCUGACCGGCACUGCCUGCUCUCCUCUGCUCCUUCUUCUGCUUUCCUUUACUUUCUCUUCAGGUUCUGGAAACGCUGAAGGCAGUGGCAGCGAUCUCGUGACUUUCCUCUGCUUGUGUGUUUGGUCUGUGUGUCUCCUGGGUUUUCCAGUCGAGAGGAUGAUGAAGAGGUCGGCCUGAUGGGAACUUGUUUUUGAUUUAGGGUUUUCGUUGUUUGCAGGGACGAAGGCAAUGAGGGCCAAUACUCGUCUCUCUGUUUUGCUGUUCUCUAUGUCUCUGUGUAUUUGUUUCUGCGCCUCUCUAUUUUUUUUUAGUGCUGUGAAUUGCCUCCCCUCUGUAUUUCUACUCUGUUUGUUUUAGCUCUGGAUUUUUUUGCCUUGAUUUCUUGCUCUGGUUUCUGUAUUUGUGGGUUGGGUCCUCCCUCCUCUGUUGCUGCCGUUUGCUCCUCUCUUAUAGAGCUCCCCCCUUCCCAGUCUUUGCAGGACUCUUCGGUAAUCCACGAACGAGAUCGUGGGCAUGAGGUGGUGCAGUGGCCUUGAGUUGCUGGAUUUUCCUUGUUCAAGCUGCCGGAUUUUUCUCUGUUGAAUCGGUCUGGUCCGUGCGAAACGGAAGGGACGAAGAACGCAGUCUUCCUAACGGCGCCGUUUGUGUGCUUGAGGCAAUUUUCACUUUGGUCCCUGGACGUUUUAAACUUUACAAUUGAGAUCUUAAUCAUGUAUAAUUGAUUUUUUUAAUUAUGCCCUUGGAUUAAAUUCAAUUGAAUCCCUGAGUUAUAGCACCAUUUACACAACAGUCCUGAGUUUCUGGACUAUUCAAUUUGAUCCUUGGACUUUAAUUUUCUAUCAAUUUUUCUUGAAUCAGCUCCAAACUUUGGUAUUUUUUCCAUUACACCCCUGAUUCCUUUAAUUAAUUAAAUCAAAGUUUAAUUAAGUCCUUAACCUCAUUAAUUCUUCAAUUAAACUCUUGAUUUCAUUAAUUAAAAUAAUCUAAAUUUAAAUCAAUUCUCUAAUUAAGCCCUUGAUUUAAUUAAUUAAACUAGUUAAGAGUUUAAUUAAAUCUUUAACCUUCCAAUCAUGCUGCCCUUAACCCAAAUUUAAUUCAUUCUUCAUUUAUUUUAUUUUCAUUUUUUCAUCAUCAUUUUUUUAGAAAAUAAAAAUAAAAGGUCAAAAAUUGGGUUAUGACAGUUGCCCCCUCUUUAUAAUUUUGACUAUACAAAGAUAUUAGAAAAUUUUGUUUUCUUUUAGCUUUGUGUAGUAAAUUUAUAAAGAAAAGUAGAUAUAGAAAGAACUUUUGUUUUGUUUUUUUUUUUUUUUUUUAGUCUUGAAAACUUUGAAAACAAUAGAUUGACACAUAACAUUUACAGAGAGAUGUAGAAAUCAAGAAACAAGUCAUUUGGGAGAUAACCCUUUUUUUUUGUGAUGGUAUAUUGUAAUGGGUUACCUACCCAGUGGAAAAAUACAAAGAUUUUUUUUUUUUAAUAAGACGAGGGCUCGAAGGCGCGCUCGAAUGUAAGACGAGGGCUCGAAGGCGCGCUCGAAUGGAGGUAGGAUAGAAAAUGCACUACCUUUGAUGGUCGAGGGCUCGAAGGCGCGCUCAAAAAUAAAUAAGACGAGGGCUCAAAGGCGCGCUCGAAUGUAAGACGAGGGCUCGAAGGCGCGCUCGAAUGGAGGUAGGAUAGAAAAUGCACUACCUUUGAUGGUCGAGGGCUCGAAGGCGCGCUCGAAAAUAAAUAAGACAAGGGCUCAAAGGCGCGCUCGAAUGUAAGACGAGGGCUCGAAGGCGCGCUCGAAUGGAGGUAGGAUAGAAAAUACACUACCUUUGAUGGUCGAGGGCUCGAAGGCGCGCUCGAAUGGAUAAGACGAGGGCUCGAAGGCGCGCUCGAAUGGAGGUAGGAUAGAAAAUGCACUACCUUUGAUGGUCGAGGGCUCGAAGGAGCGCUCGAAAAUAAAUAAGACGAGGGCUCAAAGGCACGCUCGAAUGUAAGACGAGGGCUCGAAGGCGCGCUCGAAUGGAGGUAGGAUAGAAAAUGCACUACCUUUGAUGGUCGAGGGCUCGAAAGCGCGCUCGAAUGGAUAAGACGAGGGCUCAAAGGCGCGCUCGAAUGUAAGACGAGGGCUCGAAGGCGCGCUCGAAUGGAUAAGACGAGGGCUCGAAGGCGCACUCGAAUGGAGGUAGGAUAGAAAAUGCACUACCUUUGAUGGUCGAGGGCUCGAAGGCGCGCUCGAAAAUAAAUAAGACGAGGGCUCGAAGGCGCGCUCGAAUGUAAGACGAGGGCUCGAAGGCGCGCUCGAAUGGAUAAGACGAGGGCUCGAAGGCGCGCUCGAAUGGAGGUAGGAUAGAAAAUGCACUACCUUUGAUGGUCGAAACUGAAAGGUGGUGGAAAAAUACAGGGAUUUUUCAGGUGAUCUAAUUCUCAUGGGUGGCCUGCCCAGGUUGAAAAAAUUCUCAAAAGUGAAAAUUUUUCAAAAGCAAUUUCAAUGUUCGUCAUUUCAAGUUGGCCUUCUGCUCGAUGGAUUCCAUUAGAAUUUUCUCUAAUAAAAUUUGCAAAACUCAUUGUCCAAUGUCUCAAAGUUUAAAUGAUAUGCAUGCAUCGUUACCUGAUUUGAAAUAUAGGCCCCCAUUUCUUCUUAAUCUUCUCGUUGCUUGUUGGUGAGAUCUUGCUAUCUGAUUGAGUCAUUCUUUGUCGUUUAGCUUUCUAGCCCACUCGAGUUGGCUCCAUGUAAGUCUAUUUCCAAAUUUGUUUGCACAACUCAGCAUUUAUGGUGCCCAUCGUGACCCACUUGCUUGCUAGAGAUUUCUGAUUCGUCAAAUAAUUUGAGAGGAUUAUUCAUUACCCCUCGUCUCACUGCCAUAAACAUUCGGUAUCACUUGCUGAAAGGAUCGAGCUGUCUUUUGUAAACCAAAAUGCCCACUUGUCUGGUUGAAGGAAAUUACCAUCUCCUUUUCUAGAAUCUUUCCUUCUAAACACAAUGUUGCCCUCUUGUAUUGGUUAUUGCCCCUAAGUGUGCUUCUGUCAGCGACUUAGAUAAAUAAAGGUUUUAAGAGGUCAUUCUCUCAUUUCUCUCCUUUUCAGUUUGGUGAGGAAUAUGGGUCUAGAAUGAAUCUUGAAAUCUUGAUCUUGCAUUUUGAAAACAAAAAUUAUUUCGAUGUGAGUCAAAUAACAAUUUGCUUUUGAAAUCUUGCAACUCCUUGGUUAUUUUUUUUCUAGGAAAAGAGAUUAUUUGCUCUUGUGUUUGGUAAUGAGGUCUUUGAAAAUAUCAUGAGAUGACCUUUUGUUUCGAAGUGAAGGGCUCGAGAAAAAGCUCGAGGUUUUGUAUGAGAAAAACUUGUCUCUUUUUGAACAUUUAUUUUUAUCAGCAUGAAUAAUAAUGAGUAGUUUAUUCUUAAUGUCAUGAAUCUUAUGAAAAAAGUAUUCUUUGCAUUUUGAGAGCAUUGUUUAUUGUUCUAGAUUGCUUGCUUGCUUGAUUAGAAAGGACUUCUACAGGCACGUAACGUAGGCUUUGGUUUUUGGCUAUGAAAGAAAAGGAUUCAUAAGGCUCAAAGAGUGUUUCAGGGUUUCAAAGACUGAAGAUCACGAUCAAUAGUUUGACUUUUGAUGUCAUUCAUAUUUUCCUUUGCCGCUCUUCUUUGAUUUGCCCCCUUUUCUUCUUUUUCAUUGCUUCGCUAGAGCAUACUCAUUUUAUCUUGGUUAUCACUUUUUCUUGUGAUUUGGGCAUGCCCCCUAGUAUUGGAGUUUCUUGGGCUCUUUUGCCUUUUGGCUUUCUCACGGCUUUAUCCUCUUUCUUGAUAAUUAAAAUUUCACUUGCCCCUUUUUUUUGUGAUGUGGGCAUGAUCUCUAGCAUUUGAGUUUCUUGGGCUCUUUUGCCUUUUUGGCUUUCUCAUGGCUUUAUCAUCCUUCUUGAUCAUUGAAAUUUCAUUUGCCCCAGUAUAGGGUGUGAUCUUAGUCGGGAUUUUUUAUGAAAGAAAAAUUAUUCAGGCUCAAAAAGGGUUUGCAAGGGAUGUACUUAUUUUAGAACGUGAAAGGAAUAACAAAGAUGGCCUUUUCUCAUUUCAAGCACAAGCAAUUAUGAUCAAUAAACUUUGACCUCGUAUAAUGUGAUGGUUUAUUCUUUGCAAAGAUGCAUUUCAUGAGUUAUGAGCAACAAGUUCACUACAUACCAUUAUUCAUACAUUUAAAAACACAUGAUUCAAGAGUAAUGGGGUAAGGGUGUUUAUUCUUCUUUUUUUCACAAUUUUUUUUAUAAUUUAGUCACCUCAAUGAUGGAGUUGCUAGAUUCUUGUCAUUCUACAAGUAGAAUGUCAAAAAUAUUGUUUUUGAAUAAACAUCAAAUUAUUUUUUGAAAUCAAAAUGCCAGAUCAAUUUUUUUCAAAACUCUAAUAGAGAAACUGAUUUUUGGUAAAAGAGAUGAAUUGCGUCUAUGAGAUCGCACAAGGCUUAAAGAUGUGUUUGUGAAUCUUUAUAAGAAAACUCUCUCAGAAAAAAAUGAAUAAUGCUAAUCGUAAACACGAUUGAAUGACAAACUCAUUAUUUUCAUUGAAACUUUAGAAAAUAAGUUCAACAAGGAAAGAACUUAUGACAACAUCUUGGGCUAUGAAUACUGGCAUGAUAACAUAUAAAGGGGCUAAACAUUUAGCGAUCAUUGAUUAGAAUUUCUGGAAUCUUUCAAUCAUUUGUUCUCCUCGACAAGGGCAUCUUUUCAACAGUUAGUUGAAGUCAUUUGUAAGAACAGUAAGUGCCUUGGCAACCCCUUUCAGUGUCCUUUCCCUUUUCAGUGAAACUGUUCUUUUUCAGUCGGAUCAUCAAUUUUACCUAACCCAAUGGCUUGUUCAAUCCUCUCAGCUAUAAAACCAGGUCAGUAAAAUGUUGUGCAGAGCUUCUAACCAAGUAUUCAAAGUAUGGAGCUUUAAAGGUGUUGGAAAAUAAACUGAUCAUUUCUUUUUCCAACACGGGAGGGUUAACUUGUGCAGCUACCUCACUCCAUCUUCGGGCGUAUUCUCUUAUGGACUCUUUGCUAUCUUCUCCAUAGCUUGCAAGCUUAACCGAUCAGGGCCCACAUCUAUAUUGAACUUAUAUUGCCUCAUGAAGGCAUGAACUAAAUCCUUCCAUUUUUUAACCUUGGUAUUGUCUAACCGCAUAUACCAAGUGAGGGCACCAUUACUUAGACUGUCUUGAAAGAAAUGAAUCAGCAGUUUCUCAUCAUCAACCACCUCAGCCAUUUUGUUGCAGUAUGCUUUGAGAUGAGUUAUAGGGCAUUGAGUUCCCGUAUAUUUGAUAAAUCCUAGCACUCUAAACUUUUUGGGAAUGACAACGUUGGGCACCAAGCACAUCUCAGCAGCCUUUAUAGGAUCAUAUAGGUGAAUUCCCUCAAAUGCCCUCAUCCUUUGUUCUAGGGCAAUGAAUUUGUUCAGCUCAUCUUCUUUUACCAUUUUGCCCUUUUGAGAUUCAUUCUUUGUAGAAUCAAUGGUAAACGACAUUCUCGUGGGGUAUGCUGGAUGAAAAUGCAUGGCUUGUUGAAAAUCAGACGACAACCCAUUUUCCCCCAGAUUCUGUAGAUUGAAGGGAUCUACAAGCAUAGGUUCAGGCUGAGCUGUAAGUGUUGCUUUUCCUGAUUUAUCUCUUAAGGCCUGCUCGAGUAGGCUAGUAAGCCUUGCGACUUCUUCUUUAAGAUUGUCCACCUCUUUUUGAUGUUGGGCUUCCAACUAGGCUCUUUCUUCAUCUUCCAUUUGUCUUUUUCUCGAAUGGGUUUCAAUAGGGAACCUAUAUUUCAACCUGCUAUAUGUAAAUCAUGCAAUUAAGCAAAAAUAUUUAUUUAAUUAAAAAUGCAUAUGGAAUGCAGACACGUCCUUCACCAGAUGACAACCUAAUAGGAAGAUCCUAAUUGUUGAGUGCAUCAAAGGGUUGGUCAUUAUCUAGUUUCAAAAGGGUCUCUCGCAUGCUCAGUGAUCGUCCAUGAAAGGUCGAUAUGAGGCUUACAAGUAGUGUGAAAAUAGAGGCCCUGAGUAAUAUUAGUUUGGCAUAUCAACCACUUCCAAGUAAACAAUCAAGCGAGAGUUGGAUGGUUUCACGAGUCUUACCCAGGCUAAAGCCAUUGGGGUACCGUUACUUUCCCACUUAUCCUAGAUUUUCAGGUGUGUGCUCUCAACGUGAUGCAUGACAAUAUAAACAUGGAUGCAUGCUAAAGCAGUAAAUUCAAGAAAAAUAAACAAAUAAACAUAACAUAAAAAACAUUAUAACAAUUGAUAAACAAAAGGCAAAGCUUAGUCCAUUGGUCCCCAGCGGAGUCGCCAUUCUGUCGCACCCGACAUCGCGGCGGCCCUAAAAAAAUUAUUUUUUUGGUUUCUUUGGAAAGAAUGGAUUUCUGGCAUCCUGUUCUUUAAUGUGGAUAUUCUUGUUUAAGGAGUCGCCACCUAGUAUUACGGUCACUAGGAACCCUAACUGGUCAACAGAGAUUCUAUGGUUCGGAACUGGUUACGUAAAAGGGAAGAUAUUAUCACCCCUUAAACGUCCUGCCUGAGGCAGGCUGCAUUGCUGGUUUCGUCUUAAAUUGCUAAAUGUUUUAUUAAUUUACGUUAUGAAAAUUUGCUUAUAAUAUUCCUGACUCUGGCGCCAAUGAAUAUUUAACUACGAAUAUUUCCAACUCUGGCGUUGGUAAAUAUUACGUAGCUAUAAAAAUAAAUUUAAAUCAGUAUUAUUAUUUUUAUUCCCGACUCUGGCGCCAUGAAAUAAUAAAUAAUAAUAAUUUAUUUUUUAUGCACAUAUUUCUUAUUUUUUUCUAGCUAAAUAAAAUUGAAUAAAGAAUAAAAAUAAUAUAAAUUAAAACCGGUAUUUUUAUUCCUAACUCUAGCGUUAGUGAAUAAACCAAUAAAUUUAUAUUAUUUUUAUUUAUGCACACAUUUUUUUUUAUUUUUUUUUAUUUUUUUCUCUGCCUCUUUUUUUUAUUUUUCUGUUUUUUUUUUUUUGGCGGGGCCGGGCUAGACCCAGCCCAGCCCACAUGUGGCUGGGCUGGACCCAGCCAGCCCGGCCAGGUCACUGGCCCAAGCCAGUGGCCUGGCUGGGCAAAACAAAAAAAAAAGUAAAGGCACGCGUGACUUGUUCACGCGUGCCCGAACACUGGUGAAGGUAAUUAAAUUACCUUCACACAGUUCUUGUAACCUUAAAUUGCUUUUUUAAAUGAAGAUGCAAAGGGACGAAGUCAUACCUGCUUCUGGAGACGAUGAAGAAGGCUGCGAUGCUGGUGGCUGCUGCUCUCGUUCGACUGCUUUCUCUGCUCUCCCCGCUGUGCUCACUGUCUUCCUUUUUCUUUUCUUUUUUUGCUUCCCUGGUCUGCUGGAAUUGAUGGACACGAUGACGAAGCUAUGGCUGACCGGCACUGCCUGCUCUCCUCUGCUCCUUCUUCUGCUUUCCUUUACUUUCUCUUCAGGUUCUGGAAACGCUGAAGGCAGUGGCAGCGAUCUCGUGACUUUCCUCUGCUUGUGUGUUUGGUCUGUGUGUCUCCUGGGUUUUCCAGUCGAGAGGAUGAUGAAGAGGUCGGCCUGAUGGGAACUUGUUUUUGAUUCGGGUUUUCGUUGUUUGCAGGGACGAAGGCAAUGAGGGCCAAUACUCGUCUCUCUGUUUUGCUGUUCUCUAUGUCUCUGUGUAUUUGUUUCUGCGCCUCUUUUUUUUUUUAGUGCUGUGAAUUGCCUCCCCUCUGUAUUUCUACUCUGUUUGUUUUAGCUCUGGAUUUUUUUGCCUUGAUUUCUUGCUCUGGUUUCUGUAUUUGUGGGUUGGGUCCUCCC